UACGUAGGCAGCAAGCGUUGUUCGGAAUUACUGGGCGUAAAGGGUGCGUAGGCGGCUUUUUAAGUUUGGUGUGAAAUCUCCCGGCUCAACUGGGAGGGUGCGCCGAAUACUGAGAAGCUAGAGUGUGGGAGAGGAAAGUGGAAUUCCUGGUGUAGCGGUGAAAUGCGUAGAUAUCAGGAGGAACACCGGUGGUGUAAACGGCUUUCUGGACCAUAACUGACGCUGAGGCACGAAAGCGUGGGGAGCAAACAGG
rnacentral:rRNA from 1 species